rnacentral:rRNA from 1 species
AUUGAACGCUGGCGGCAGGCCUAACACAUGCAAGUCGAGCGGAUGAAGGGAGCUUGCUCCUGGAUUCAGCGGCGGACGGGUGAGUAAUGCCUAGGAAUCUGCCUGGUAGUGGGGGAUAACGUCCGGAAACGGGCGCUAAUACCGCAUACGUCCUGAGGGAGAAAGUGGGGGAUCUUCGGACCUCACGCUAUCAGAUGAGCCUAGGUCGGAUUAGCUAGUUGGUGGGGUAAAGGCCUACCAAGGCGACGAUCCGUAACUGGUCUGAGAGGAUGAUCAGUCACACUGGAACUGAGACACGGUCCAGACUCCUACGGGAGGCAGCAGCGGGGAAUAUUGGACAAUGGGCGAAAGCCUGAUCCAGCCAUGCCGCGUGUGUGAAGAAGGUCUUCGGAUUGUAAAGCACUUUAAGUUGGGAGGAAGGGCAGUAAGUUAAUACCUUGCUGUUUUGACGUUACCAACAGAAUAAGCGCCGGCUAACUUCGUG